rnacentral:rRNA from 1 species
UACGUAGGGUGCAAGCGUUGCUCGGAUUUACUGGGCGUAAAGCGUACGCAGACGGUGAGAAAGGUCGGAUGUGAAAGCCCCGGGCUCAACCCGGGAACUGCAUCCGAAACCAUCUCGCUAGAGUAUGGGAGAGGGAAGCGGAAUUCCUGGUGUAGAGGUGAAAUUCGUAGAUAUCAGGAGGAACAUCUGCGGCGAAGGCGGCUUCCUGGCCCAUUACUGACGUUCAGGUACGAAAGCGUGGGUAGCAAACAGG